rnacentral:rRNA from 1 species
UGGGGAAUAUUGCACAAUGGGGGAAACCCUGAUGCAGCGACGCCGCGUGAGCGAAGAAGGCCUUCGGGUCGUAAAGCUCUUUUAUAUGAGAAGAUAAUGACGGUACCAUAAGAAAAAGCCCCGGCUAACUACGUGCCAGCAGCCGCGGUAAUACGUAGGGGGCUAGCGUUGUCCGGAAUCACUGGGCGUAAAGGGUUCGCAGGCGGCAAUGCAAGUCAGAUGUAAAAGGCAAAGGCUCAACCUUUGUAAGUAUCUGAAACUGUAUAGCUUGAGAAGUGUAGAGGCAAGUGGAAUUUUUAGUGUAGCGGUGAAAUGCGUAGAUAUUAAAAAGAAUACCGGUGGCGAAGGCGACUUGCUGGGCACAAUCUGACGCUGAGGAACGAAAGCGUGGGGAGCAAACAGG